AGCAGUAGCCGCGGUAAUACGGAGGGUGCAAGCGUUAAUCGGAAUUACUGGGCGUAAAGCGCACGCAGGCGGUCUGUCAAGUCAGAUGUGAAAUCCCCGGGCUUAACCUGGGAACUGCAUUUGAAACUGGCAGGCUAGAGUCUUGUAGAGGGGGGUAGAAUUCCAGGUGUAGCGGUGAAAUGCGUAGAGAUCUGGAGGAAUACCGGUGGCGAAGGCGGCCCCCUGGACAAAGACUGACGCUCAGGUGCGAAAGCGUGGGGAGCAAACAGGAUUAGAUACCCGGGUAGUCCCUGUCUCUUAUAC
rnacentral:rRNA from 1 species